ensembl:lncRNA novel transcript
AGCAGCCGGGCUGUGGGAAGAUGGGUGAGAGUCAGCUCUCUGAGUGCUUGGCGGCAGGCGGUCAGCUCAGCUGGUGGGAACAGCAGGACGGUGUGGACGUCAGCCUGGCACGGGGCAGGGGUGCCCCUCAGCAGAAUGGCAUGGGGGCUGUGGCAAGCUCCCCUCCAUCUCUGGUCCCUGGAGUCAGACUAGACCUUCGCCGCAUCCGGCUCGAAGGCUCGGAUGGAUGAUGGAUUGCCCGGCCCAUCUUCCCCGGGGGGUUGGAUCUGAGACCAUCAGCAUCCAGCAGCCGUGAGUGUGAUGGAUGAACCGAGGCCAGUCACCUAGUGGGGAAACGACAUCUCACAUUUAAAGAACACCAGGCGUUUCUACACAGCGGGGGAAGGAAAUCCGUCCUGAUUUUAAACUUUGGCACAGCUGUGAAACCGAGGGUAGUGAACUCUGAGGAGAGGACUCUUUUCUGGACAUACAUUUAACGUCCGUGAAAGCCUCAGACCCCCUGAGCACACCUGCCUAGCCGUGUUGUGGACGAACAAGGGCUGACGAAAUGCCUGUGGAGGCUGAUUUCACCGGAGUCAGGGGAAGUCAGUCUAAGCAAAGAGCAGGGGCACGGAUGAAAAUAACAGAACAGUGACCCAGAAUCCUGGCUGUGGCCUCAUGAAACAGGUGCUGUUAAAAUCAGCUGCAUUGGAAACAGCCGAGUCAGGCAACGAAGGCACAGAGAGGUUAGACAACUUGUGGAAAAUCACGCAGCACCGGUGCCUCCACAUUCACACUCCGCCCCUCCGUGUCCUGCAAUCCUGACCAGCCCCACGUUCCCCAGGACAAGCCGCCAGCAUCCCGGAAGGGGUUAAUCCCUCUCUGGUGGGUCAGCUCCUGCCACUCUCCCGAGUGCUUUUGCACAUGGUCUGGUCGCAAUGUGCCCAAGACGGCCCUGUGCUGGGGAGGAAAGCGCUUACAUAAUCCUC